AAGAAGAUAUUGUUACAAGACAAAAGACAGAGACUUAAAUUAACAUUUCGUCACUGCGUUUAUCUUCACAUGACUUCCCAAAUUGGUCCGUCCCUGAAAUGAGUAACUGAUAGUAAAUGUGUUCCGCCUGGAAUAUAACGGUUUUAAAACCACUUGUAAUUUAAAGUAAACGUGCUAAAAGACACGUACAAGUAUCACAAAUUAUCUAUGCGAGUUUUAAAAUACAUGGAAUAGUGAUUUAGUGUUAUUAUUUUAAUGACAUUUGGAGCGGAAGUCGGGGUCCGUGAGUAACAGCAUGAAAAAGAAGGCGUGUUUCGCAAUGCGCUUGGAGAUAUACAGUCACAUCAGAGGUCAGAUAAGGAGCGCUUCAGUUUUCUGUUAAAUUUCUUCUGCUGCUUUAAUCCAGCUAUAAUGAAACAACACAAACUGUCCGCCUCGAAGCGUCUGACCAAACCCAUUUUGUUUGGGACAAUAAUCCUUGGACUAUUGCUGCUUUCAUAAACAGGCACAGAUUCUUGGACGAUAUAGAUGAUCUCAGGGCAGAGGAGCGAGCACGCUACGAAGCCAAGAGGUUAGAGGUGCUAGAAAGGAGGCAGAGGCAGAUAGAAGAGCUGGCUAAGCUGAAGAGGAGAACAGGGGACAGCUGAAAUCUCCCAGGAUGCUUCUGCAGGAGAUAUGUUAAUCAGUCUACAGAUGUGCAUACAGUCUGCACAUCUGUACACAGCCUCAUUGUAGAGGUUGUAGUAGAAGUUGUAGUUCUCAUAUUUGUCCAGUAGAGGGCAUCAUUAUGACUAGAAGCACUAAGCAUUGAUUAUAUUCAACGAUGUGAUACUGAAGCAAAAAAACAACAACACAUUUUUUACAGCCUUGACAAAUCACUGCAGCCACAUUUUCUGCCACAGUAAGAACUGAUCAGACAUUGAAAAUGUAAUAGAUGAACUUUAAUCAUCUCUUUUAUUAAAACAUGCCAAAAAGAAAUAAAUUAAACCAACAAUAAACAAUAUUGCACUUGAAUGAAAAUGACAAAGUGACAAAUUAGGUUCACACAAGGUCAAAGAGCCUCAGGUGCUUUCUUUGUACUGUAACGAAAACGAGCAGAGUCAUGAAUAAUACAGUUAGACUGCAAUAGGAUAAAACGUUUCUGUAGAAUAGGAUCUGGUUAAAUGUUCUCAACAGGACGACAGCAACGCUUCAGCGGCUGCCGUGAAAUAACGAUCAAUAUGACCAGUACUGUACACAUCAUGUCACAUAAUUCAAAAGUUCGACGUUGUGUUUGUCUCACCCCACUAACACGUAGACCCCCUGCUGGUCCAGACAGCUGUGAAGCCUAAUUAUAGCAGUAAAAAGAACAGUAGAAGCCAAAUGCACCUGAAUUCUCUCUUGCGCAUCAAAGGUCGUGUUUAGAACUACUCAUCUGUGCAGCUCAUGUGUUUAACGUCAAUAAUUGAUGGAGUCAUUCACCAUGUGUCACACACUUGGGACAUGUGCUCUCAUUAAACCUCACAAGUGAACAUCAGUGCACUUAUCCAUCGCUGGCUUUCCAUAAUAUAGGUUAUUGCUGAUAAAAGCUGUGGCAAAGAGCUGUUUAAUGUCCAUUUAAUGUCACAAUGUGCAGCUUAAAAACAUUAAUUGCAUAUUUUUUACUUUUUGAAUCACUGGAUGCGCCUAUUCACGAGUCAGGGUUUAGCUCAACGUUACAACAGGCUUGUUGCUGUGUGAGUACUGAAACAGUUCAGGUUUGAUUCUGGUGCUGAAACCCCAAAUAUAUUUCCCUAAAUAUAUAGUACAAUAUCAUCUUUCAUGACAUCUUCUAGACAAUACCUGUCUGUAUUGUCUAGAAGAUGUCAAUUAGGGUCAAAAUUCACAGGUCAUGUGUGAAGUUAUUAAUAUUUACCUAAAGCUAGUGAAUAACUUAAAAAAGGACCAUUACUGCCAAAUUCCAGCUUUAACAGGAAGAACAACCCCAGCUAUAUAAACUGUGUCCAUGUGUUUGGCUUAACUGUGAGCAAACAGUAGAUACAGCAACACAGAAUAUACCGACAGACCAUAAUUACAGUAAGAACGAAGCACAAGUGUCGAGUCAGAACAACAGACACAGAGCAUCCAGGACAAACAGUACAACGACGUUUAGACAGUGUUUUCCACCCGACUGGUUUCUGUCCUUUUCUGCUGGAUGUGUGGAGGUUUAAGGUCACACAGCGAGCGGCACCAAGCCCGGGGAGGAGGCGGCGGGAGCGGUGGUGAUGGCCGUCAGGGUACCAGGUUCCAACCCGUUCACCGUCCUG